UACGUAGGGUGCAAGCGUUAAUCGGAAUUACUGGGCGUAAAGCGUGCGCAGGCGGCUAUGCAAGGCAGAUGUGAAAUCCCCGGGCUUAACCUGGGAACUGCAUUUGCGACUGCAUGGCUAGAGUACGGCAGAGGGGGAUGGAAUUCCGCGUGUAGCAGUGAAAUGCGUAGAUAUGCGGAGGAACAUCGAUGGCGAAGGCAAUCCCCUGGGCCCGUACUGACGCUCAUGCACGAAAGCGUGGGGAGCAAACAGG
rnacentral:rRNA from 1 species